rnacentral:rRNA from 3 species
ACAACUUUCAGCAACGGAUCUCUUGGCUCUCGCAUCGAUGAAGAACGCAGCGAAAUGCGAUAAGUAAUGUGAAUUGCAGAAUUCAGUGAAUCAUCGAAUCUUUGAACGCACCUUGCGCUCCUUGGUAUUCCGAGGAGCACACCUGUUUGAGUGUCAUGAA